rnacentral:tRNA from 1 species
UCCCAUGUGGUUUAGCGGUUAGGAUUCUUGUCUUUUACUCAGGCAGUCCAGGUUCAACACCUGAUGCGGGAG